GAGUUGGAAGUCCACAAGUCGUAAAGUUGCCAAGUUUGGGGAUACCUGCAAUAAGAGUAAUUCCGGCUUUAAAAUGAAGGCCUUUGAAUGAUUGACUUAAAGAGCCUUUUUUAAAAACAAAACAAAACACAAUACAAUCAUUUUUUUACUUGCAACACCCAGCAUAUCUGAAACUCAACCAGCAGCACAGGAUGGACCAAUGACCAAGGAGAAAUGUGAAUCCCCCCCCACACCUCAGGCUUAAAUUGUUCCACUCUGCUCUGAGUAACUGCUAGCUGUUGCAUCCUUUCUCCUCAAAUUUUUCUAGCCAGCCCACUGCCUACUCCUCGCUCCUUCGUUCCUCCAAUUAAAACCAGUGGAAAGAGAGUGAAAAAGAGAAAAGAGACCGUUGGGUUCUCAUGGACAGGGAAGUUCGGAGAUGCAGCAGAACCGGGGAGAAAUUCAAAGGAGGAGAAGCAGUGAUCCUAGCAUUUCUUCUCCAUCAGAAGACAUCCCUGAGAGGUCCUCUCCCGCGUCUCAAAAAAAAAAAAAGGAAGGCUGCAGACUCCGUUAGAAAAAGCUGCAACCCGAGCGCCAACCAAUUUAAAAAAAAAAAACCCUUCCUCGCCUUGAAUUUCCUGAGAGCAAAGACAAUGAGAAACUAUCUGUCGAGAACUUCACACCGGCGAAAGGAAGGGCAUCGGGCCAGUAAAUACUCCGCUCCGUUCAGCUGCCCCGACUCCACCCCAAGGCAAGGGAUUAUAGGGUCAUUAAAAGACGAAGAAAAAAAAAGAAAGAUCUAGCUUGAACAAGGC